rnacentral:rRNA from 1 species
AGUGAACGCUGGCGGUAGGCCUAACACAUGCAAGUCGAACGGCAGCACAGUAAGAGCUUGCUCUUACGGGUGGCGAGUGGCGGACGGGUGAGGAAUACAUCGUAAUCUACUCUUUCGUGGGGGAUAACGUAGGUAAACUUACGCUAAUACCGCAUACGCCCUACGGGUGAAAGCAGGGGAUCUUCUGACCUUGCGCGAUUGAAUGAGCCGAUGUCGGAUUAGCUAGUUGGCGGGGUAAAGGCCCACCAAGUCGACGAUCCGUAGCUGGUCUGAGAGGAUGGUCAGCCACACUAGAACUGAGACAGCGUCCAGAGUACUACGGGAGGCAGCAGUGUGGUAUAGUAGGCAACAGGCGCAAGCCUGAUCCAGCCAUCCCGCGUGGGUGGAGGAGGCGUUCGGGUUGUAAAGCCCUUCUGUUGGGAGAGAAAAGCAGCAGGUUAAUACGAAGCUGUUGUGACGGUACCCAAAGAAUAAGCACCGGCUAACUACGUG